AUCCAGAUGAAGAGUCCCAGUUAGGAUGAAAUAUGCAUCCUGGAU
rnacentral:hammerhead_ribozyme from 1 species